UCCCCUCCCUCUCAAUCCACCAAAGCAACGGACGCUUAUUGAAGAGAUAGUCAGAUAGAGACUGAGGAGAGAGAAAGUGAAACAAGAAAAAAAAGAAUCCAAAAAAAGGGUUUCUUCAACUCUCCAUCUCUAAGAAGUGUUAUGCAACAUGGUUUGGUGCAUGCCCUGGUUUGAAAGUACUUGCUCCAUAUUCAGCAGAGGAUGCCCGAGGGUUGCUCAAAGCUGCCAUUAGGGAUCCAGACCCUGUUGUUUUUCUAGAAAAUGAGCUUUUAUAUGGUGAAUCGUUUCCUGUUGCAGAUGAAGUUCUUGACGCUAAUUUCCCCCUUCCAAUUGGGAAAGCAAAGGUAGAACAACAAGGGAAGGAUGUCACAAUCACUGCUUUCUCUAAGAUGGUGGGCAACGCUCUCAAGAUGGAGAUGCUCCAAGUCACACUUCAGAAAGAAGCAACUGAUUCUAUAACUGCAUCCAAGGCAGGAAAAUGGAGAUGCUCCCGUUAGGUUAUACAUACACGAGCCGUUAUUUAUCCGAUGAUGCAGCAAGCCAUCAAGGGAAGUGGCUUACGAGAGUUGAAUAUAGAAUAUCUGAAGAAAUGUGACUUUGAAGCUUUUGUUGUUAGAGCAUACUUCUUUGUGUUCAUCUUCAAUCUUGCGUCUUCUGAUUUUUAGGCUUUUGUGUAAAUUAGUUAUUUAGUUUCCAAAGUACUCUGACCAUUAUUGUGGAAUGGCAAAUUUUUUUCUGUUUACAAUUUUGCUUUGGAUAUUGAUUUGUUCUUCCAUCCUUUUCUUCUUGGUUGAAAUAAUUUCAGUGCGUUGGAUUCUCUAA